GACGAACGCUGGCGGCGUGCCUAAUACAUGCAAGUAGAACGCACAGUUUAUACCGUAGCUUGCUACACCAUAAACUGUGAGUUGCGAACGGGUGAGUAACGCGUAGGUAACCUGCCUGGUAGCGGGGGAUAACUAUUGGAAACGAUAGCUAAUACCGCAUAAUAUUGAUUAUUGCAUGAUAAUUGAUUGAAAGAUGCUAUUGCAUCACUACCAGAUGGACCUGCGUUGUAUUAGCUAGUAGGUGAGGUAACGGCUCACCUAGGCGACGAUACAUAGCCGACCUGAGAGGGUGAUCGGCCACACUGGGACUGAGACACGGCCCAGACUCCUACGGGAGGCAGCAGUAGGGAAUCUUCGGCAAUGGACGAAAGUCUGACCGAGCAACGCCGCGUGAGUGAAGAAGGUUUUCGGAUCGUAAAGCUCUGUUGUAAGAGAAGAACGGGUGUGAGAGUGGAAAGUUCACACUGUGACGGUAUCUGAACAGAAAGGGACGGCUAACUACGUG
rnacentral:rRNA from 1 species